ACAUCACAUGAGGAAGCUUUACUGUUUCCCCUUCUCCUGAAAUGUGUCUGGGAUGGAGAGUGUGGAGAGUGGGCCCACCUUUAUCUGGGUCCACUCAGGCUGCUGCAGAGACUACCCCAGACUGGGUGGCUGAUAGACAAGACAUUCAUUUUCCACACUUCCUGAGACUGAGAAGUCUGAGAUGAAGAAACCUAGAAGCAAGGAAGCUGCCACCAUGAUGCAGCGGGGAGUCCGAGGCCCUGGGAGGUCAUAUGACUCAUUCAAGGUCAUCCUGCUGUGGCAGAGAUGCGAUGAAGCCCUGGCUUUGACCCCAACCCCAGGUGCCAGAGUCUUCCCUGCCCUGUACAGCCCUGCUCAUGCCAUGGUCUCCUGUGGACGUUCCCUCCUUCCCACGUUGGCGGUAUUGCUGUCCAAGCUUUGCAGGGGAGGAAUCUGAGGAAUUGAGAAGUCAAGUAACACACCCAAUAGGAUAACUAGGCCUUCUUGGCAGCCAACCUCGAAGCACCACAUCGGGCUUUGAAAUGUGCGGGGCCUUUGAGAUUCAGCGCAUCUGAAUCUGAAUUUAUGCCGUCUCACUUGCUGGAAUCUACUGAUCUGUCCACUGUUCCUGGAAGAAAUACUUUGUUUUCAUGUGCCAGUUGCCUUUCCAGCCUGACUGUCAGCCCAAGGUCGCAGGAGAAGAUCUGAUUGCAUGUCCUUGAUUUUGCUGCUCCCAUUCCGAGAACCAGCUUCCUCCUCUGGAAGGUCGACUGAGGGGGGAUUGACUGGACUUGGCUCAAGGCUGCAAGUGGUCCAGGUCUGCUCUGUGUGUCUUUCAUCCUCCCCAACCAGUUAGAAAACGUGAUAUCCUCUUCUACGAUGAUGAUGGAAAUACAAAAUUGGUGUUCAGGCACUUCAGGACCUCUCACCUCUGUGAAGGGACUUGGGAGACACCCAGAAAAUGAUGAAAAAUGGAGUGAAUGAGACAUUAAACACAGAUGGCUCCGGAAACACAUGUCCAGAAGUGUCUGCCUAAAAAGUAUGCUUGCAGAGGUCCUGUGAGGUGUCCUGACUCUUGGCCAAUGGCUGCAAUUCCAUUGUUCUUAUCACAAGCCUGUAUCGUCAACUCAAAGCCCAUUAGAGUCAUCAGUCCUUCACCUCUGCCUGAGACACAGACAGUCUGCAAAUCUGGAUGCUUCACGUCUCAAUCAGCCUCACAUCCACCUGUCCUAGCACCUGAGACACCGGGACCCAGCAGGGCACCCACUCAGUGGCAUCUCCCAGGACAAGCCAAAUAUCAUCCCCCCACUGAGACCCACUGGGCCGCUCCAGGUGUUUCCUUGCCUCCUCUUCUGAAAAUUCGGGACCGCCAUACAGACACCUCCCGGCUCUUCUGUGUGGUCAGGCGGUGAGUGGUGCCAGAAUGCAGGGGCCUGUGCUUGGAGCCAUGGGGGGUUCCAGAUGUCCUGUGUUCCCUAUCUGCCUCCUCCUACCUGCCCCUUUAUUAAGCACCAUGGCAUCCAUCAGCUCAUCUGAUUUUCACAGCAGCCCUUCCAGGCCAGAACAGCUAUUAUUGAUCCCAUGAUACAGAGGGGGAACUGAUGCUAGGAGAGGUUGUGAAUUUCACUCAUUCACUCAUUCAUUCACUCAUUCAGCCGUCCUUUUGGUUGGAGCAGCAUUGUGAAAGGCACUAAGGACAGCGAUAUGAGUAAGGUGUAGCCCCUCACCCUCAGGGACCCACGGCCUUGCGCAGAUGGAAGGUGGCAAUGACCUGACCACCCUUGGAGUGUCUCUGUCUCCCUAGGCAGCGCUCAUUGGCAGAAUGCUAGUUCUAAAACAUGGGCCAAACUCACUUCUAGAGCUCUUGGAUGGGCUGAUCUCAGUGUAAAGCCCCAGACUCUCUGCUAAGCUUUCUAGUCUCCCACCAUCUUCACCAUACUGAGACCCGUGGAACCUCAUGCUUCCCAACUUGCCACACAUGUGACAACCCCACUCACUGCCCACCCAACAGCCAUGCCUUCCUUCCACUCACCUGUCUUCCCGGCUCCCAGAGCUCUGAUGCUGUGGGGGGUGGGUAGAGACUCUGGCACCUGGCCUGUCAGCAGCCCCGGUGUGAACGGAUCAUGGUUAUCCUAACGCCCUUUGUCAGGUACCUCCCAGUCUUCCUCACAGGUGGGGGUGACCAGCCCAUCAGUGAGAAUAGGGGACAGUUAUGGACCAAAUGUCUGUGCCUCCUUCAAGUUCGUACGUUCAGACCUUAGCCUCUUGCCCCUGAUUGUAUUAGGAGGUGGGGCCUUUGCGAGGUGAUAAGGUCGUGAGGCUGGAGCCUCAUGAAUGGGAUCAGUGUCCUAAUAAAAGGGACCCCAGCGAGCUCGUGUUCCUCUUUCUGCCACCUGAUAUUUUAAGAAGUUGGCUAUCUGCAACCAGAAGGGGACUCUCACCAGAACCCGACCUUGCUGGCACCCCGAUCUCAGCUUUUCAGCCUCCAGAACUGUGAGAAAUAUAUUUCUGUAGUUACAAGCCACCUCAUCUAUGAUGCUUUGUGAUAGCAGCCAGCACGGGCUUCAACAGGGGUAUGUGCUGGAGAAUUUCAGGACAGAUGGAGUCUCUCCAUCCUCUUCUUUGUAUCUUGAGCUUGGUUGUAAGCAGAUGAGAUGUUCGGAGCAGCAGCAGCCAUCAUUUGAUCAGGUGAUAACACACCAAUUGCAAAAAGCCAGUACACCAAGAAGAGCUGAGCAGAAAUGUGGGUGAGCCCGGGUGUUUGUGGGCAUCAGUGGCCUAGGACCAGGCUGCUCCCAGGUAGUGAGGGAGGAGAUGCCUCUCAGCUGAUACCACUGCUCUUAGGGGCUCACUGGUUUGCACUGGAUACAUCCUAGCAGACGCCUGAGUCAGCCUCUGCCACCUCCUGUCUAGAAUGCCCUCUCCUCUGGUUUCGUUCUGAAAACUUUUUCUCACCUUUUAAGACCCAACCCGAGUCCUUUUCUGAGAAAAAUUUACCCCAUCCUGACCACAGCGUCGAGCGCCAGGUCAUCAGAGCCCCUGUGAUACUGAGUUCAGCCUGCUUGUAGUCUCCGCCUGCCAUGGUGGGUGCUACCUGCAGUCAUACCAUUCACAGGGCAGUGGGUGCCACAGCCAGGCCCCCUGCUUGUCCUGGCAUAGCCGCCUGAGGAAGGGAUCAAGGGCCAUUCUCUCUCUAGGCAGCUGGGGCUGGGGCCCGUCACAAACUAAGCCCCGAGCAGGGCCUGCUGGGGGAUGAAGUCAUGUGGAAAAACACUCAAGUUAGAACAAAACUGUCUUUCUGCAAAUGACUUCAUCAUGUCGCCAGAAGGCUCGGAUCACUCCACCUCUCACCUUUUCCCGCCCGCCCAUGGGAGCAGGGAAGACCAGUUCCUCGGGUCCUGUUACAUCACUCAGGCAAAAGUAAACGUUACCGAGACCCACCCACCAGGGGCUGGAGAGCUGAUGCCUUCAUCUCCCUCCAGAGGCAGGACUUCUUCUGACCCCUCAGGCUGGGAAGGCCUGGAGGGCAAGCUGGGGCCUCCUCUACCUCUGUGAUCUCAGGGCCCUGCUUAGAGACCAGCAAAAACAUAAAAUAAUACAAAACCCACUUGUGGAGUUCCCCUUGUGGCUCAGUGGAAAUGAAUGCAAUUAGUAUCCAUGAGGAUGCAGGUUCGAUCCCUGGCCCUGCUCAGUGGGGUAGAGAUCCUGCGUUGCUGUGGCUGUGG
rnacentral:lncRNA from 1 species